CACGUAGGGCGCAAGCGUUGUUCGGAUUUACUGGGCGUAAGGCGCACGUAGGCGGGUCGUUAAGUCAGGGGUGAAAUCCCGGAGCUCAACUCCGGAACUGCCUUUGAUACUGGCGACCUUGAGGCUGGAAGAGGUUAGUGGAAUUCCCAGUGUAGAGGUGAAAUUCGUAGAUAUUGGGAAGAACACCAGUGGCGAAGGCGGCUAACUGGUCCAGAUCUGACGCUGAGGUGCGAAAGCGUGGGGAGCAAACAGG
rnacentral:rRNA from 1 species